CCCCCCCCCAACCUCUCUCCCUGUCAGUGUGUUCUCACCCAUCUUGACAACCAUGGCCAAGGUCCCCCCUCAUCUCAUCAUCGCUCUCAUUCUUCCAUUAACUAUCAUCCUUGUGAGAGGAGAUGUUGCUGCCUCCAAGCCACAACCGACCAUCCAAUAUCUACCCACUAGCAUGGUUGAGUACCACACCAUUGAUAGACCCGCCAACAUGGAUGUCAAUGCCCAAAACCCCCCCUUCAAGUAAAUGCGCGACGUGUGAGUGCUGUACUAACAAAGACCACAAGAAUUGCUUAUCAACGCAGUGUUGCUAUCGCAUCAAAUGCAACAUUCCUGGCAAGCCCUUUGGCACGUGUGCCUUCAUGCCCGAAGCUUGCAACUGUGACUCAUGUGGUUAAUCCUACUAAAUGUGUUGGGAUAAAAUAAAUUUGGUCAUCGAAUAAAUUUGUUUAUUGGAAUGGGUGAACAAGUUUGAGGUCGUUGAUAGUAUUAUCGUAUGGUGUAUGUUUUGGAAUUGCAAUUUUCUAAUAUGCAUUCACUUUGA